GAACCUGCCCUAUACUCAGGGAUAACAUGCCGAAAGGUGUGCUAAUACCGGAUAGUCCUGCAAAGGUAAAGCUUUCGCGGUAUAGGAGGGUCCUGCGGCCUAUCAGUUUGUUGGUAAGGUAACGGCUUACCAAGACUAUGACGGGUAGCUGAUCUGAGAGGAUGAUCAGCCAGAAUGGGACUGAGACACGGCCCAUACUCCUACGGGAGGCAGCAGUGAGGAAUCUUCCGCAAUGGGGGCAACCCUGACGGAGCGACACCGCGUGAAGGAUGACGAUCUUUCUGAUUGUAAACUUCUGUUCUGAGGGACGAAAUUUUUGACGGUACCUCAGGAGAAAGCACCGGCUAAAUCCGUGCCAGCAGCCGCGGUAAUACGGAUGGUGCAAGCGUUACUCGGAAUUACUGGGCGUAAAGCGUCCGCAGGCUUCUAGGUUAGUCUGAUGUUAAAGUGCAGAGCUCAACUCUGUGAUGUGUCGGAAACUACCUGGAUAGAGUCAUACAGAGGCAACUGGAAUUACGUGUGUAGGGGUAAAAUCCGUUGAUCCACGUAGGAACGCCCAAAGUGAAAACAGGUUGCUGGGUAUGUACUGACGCUCAGGGACCAAAGCGUGGGGGAGCGAAGGGAUAGAUACCCCCGUAGU
rnacentral:rRNA from 1 species